rnacentral:rRNA from 1 species
CCUANGGGAGGCAGCAGUCGAGAAUUUUUCUCAAUGGGCGAAAGCCUGAAGGAGCGACGCCGCGUGGGGGAUGAAUGGCUUCGGCCCGUAAACCCCUGUCAUUUGCGAACAAACCUCUAUGGUUAACACCUGUAGAGCUGAUUGUAGCGGAAGAGGAAGGGACGGCUAACUCUGUGCCAGCAGCCGCGGUAAUACAGAGGUCCCAAGCGUUGUUCGGAUUCACUGGGCGUAAAGGGUGCGUAGGCGGUCGGAUAAGUUUGAUGUGAAAUCUCCGGGCUUAACCCGGAAAUUGCAUUGAAUACUGCCCGGCUAGAGGAUUGGAGGGGAGACUGGAAUGCUCGGUGUAGCAGUGAAAUGCGUAGAUAUCGAGCGGAACACCAGUGGCGAAGGCGAGUCUCUGGACAAUUCCUGACGCUGAGGCACGAAAGCCAGGGGAGCAAACGGGAUUAGAUACCCCGNUANUC